AUUGAACGCUGGCGGCAUGCUUUACACACGCAAGUCGAACGGUAACAGGGUGCUUGCACCGCUGACGAGUGGCGAACGGGCGAGUGAUGCGGCGGAACGUGCCGAGUAGUGGGGGAUAACGCAGCGAAAGAUGGACUAAUACCGCAUACGAUAUACGGAUGAAAGCAGGGGGCUGCAAGGCCUUGCACUAUUGGAGUGGCCGAUGUCGGAUUGGCUAGUUGGUGGGGUAAAAGCCUACGAAGGCGACGAUCCGUAGCUGGUCUGAGAGGACGAUCAGCCUCACUGGAACUGAGACACGGUCCAGACUCCCACGGGAGGCAUCAGUGGGGAAUUGUGGACAAUGGGCGCAACCCUGAUCCAGCCAUGCCGCGUGCGUGAAGAAGGCCUUCGGGUUGUAAAGCUCUUUCGGUGAAGACGAAACGUUUCAUGCCAAUACCAUGAACUAAUGACGCUACUCACAGAAGAAGCACCGGCUAACUACGUGCCAGCAGCCGCCGCCGUAA
rnacentral:rRNA from 1 species